rnacentral:lncRNA from 1 species
CGAACAAACAGCGCGAAAAAAGCACAAGCAAACCCUUCCAAAUGAACGUUGAUAAACUCUUAUCCGAUUUGAGUUCUAUAGAAAAUGAUUUCAAAGCUGAGAAUAAGAUUAAUGAAAGUCUAACAGGGACAAAGGCACAAUAUGAGAAGGUUAUUAAUGCUACAGACAAUGGUAUUAAAAACAUUUAUGGUGACAAAUUAAAUUAUUAUUCUAAUUUUAAUAUAAUAAAUGAAUAUAAAAAAACAGAAAUAUGUGCAGAGAAAUUACAGGUUGAGAUUCUAAAUAAUUUAAUUUUUUUAUUAAAAAUAAAAAAAAAUGAUAAAACGAAUAUUGACGACUUAAUGGAAAGUAUUUUUAAUUGUAUAGACAUAAAUUUUAAAAAUAAUAAUUAUGUUAUAACAAAUGUUAAAGAAUCGAAGUCUUUAUAUUUGUAUAAACACUAUUUGUUACAAAACAAAUAUUUUUUUUUAAAAAUUAUUAAAAACAUGAAAAAUAUUAAUUUAUAUCCAUCUAUUAAACAAAUUAUAAAAGAUAUAACUAGAGAUAUAUUUUUAUUUAACAAUAGUUUAUAUAAUGGAAGUAUAGGUAUAGAAAGUAUUAUAUGUUUAUUAUAUAAUAUGUUAUAUACAAAUUUUAAAUGCAAAAUGAAAAGUUUUUUGUUAUGCUUUUUUUUACUAAGUUUAAUGACAAGAACAAAUACCAGCGUUGAUAUUUUAUACAUAUUAGAAUCUUUUUAUAAAAAUAAUAAUUUUUCUUUUAUAAUACCAGAUAGCUCUUUUAUUUCUCCUUGCCAGUUCAACGUACAUAACGAUUUAAUCAUAAUCAAAAAUCAUGUAAAAUAUUUUAUAAAUAUAAAUAACGACAACACAAAAUUGACAUAUAGUUGCUAUAACAUUAUAUAUAUUCGAGAAUCAUUGAUAAGUGUUAACUUUUAUCUAUAUUUGUACAAAGUACUUUUAAAACAAACAAAAUAUUACUAUUUAUUUUCUAAUCAAAAUAUUGCUAAAAAUUUUAAUUUUUUCGAUAUACAUGCAAAUUGCAACACGAUCAAAGGUAUGGACUCGAAUAAUACACAUUAUAAUAGUAGUAGUAUUAGUAGUAACAGUAAGAGCAAUAGUAACAAUUAUUAUUUUGGUUCAGGUCCAGUUUUAGAUUUAGACUUAGAUUUAGAAUCCAUUCAAAUACCAUCUGAGUCUACCUACACUAAUGAUGACAGUGAAUUUAACAUCAAAAAAAUAAAUGAAGAAAUUCGUUUAUAUGGAAGUAGUCAUAGUAGUACGACGGAUGAUACAAAUUGUCCCCAUACCAUUAAUAACCACAAUAAUAACAAAAAAAACAUUUUUUACCAAUAUUUAAUGAUAGAACUAGAUGAAUGAUAUAUCAUUAUGUUUGCCGAACGAUACACUUUUGUAUAUGUAUAAUUAAAUGUAAACAUAUUUAUACAUAUGUUUAUAUGUAUGUACA